rnacentral:miRNA from 1 species
UGUGACAUCACAAUGCUCCAAUGUGACAUCACAAUGCUCCAAUGUGACAUCACAAUGCUCCAAUGUGACAUCACAAUGCUCCAAUGUGACAUCACAAUG